GGGAGGGAGGGCCGGGCCGGGCGCGGAGGCAGGGCCGCGGGGCCAUGGAGGGGCUGCGGCGGGGCCUGUCGCGCUGGAAGCGCUACCACAUCAAGGUGCACCUGGCGGACGAGGCGCUGCUGCUGCCGCUCACCGUGCGGCCGCGGGACACGCUCAGCGACCUGCGCGCGCAGCUCGUGGGCCAGGGCGUGAGCUCCUGGAAGCGCACCUUCUACUACAACGCGCGGCGGCUGGACGACCACCAGACGGUGCGCGACGUGCGCCUGCAGGACGGCUCGGUGCUGCUGCUCGUCAGCGACCCCAGGUAGUUGGAGGAGGUGGAGCCAUGACCCAGGGGACUGGGGGUGCUGGCUGAGGAGCAGGCUGGGGUUGGGGUCACCUCUGGAGGUGCCUCCUGGGACCCCUGCCUUCACUCUGGUGCCGGGCUCCGGGGCGUCCGGUGAAGUACCGGCCUGAGAGCCUGACCAGAGGCUGCCUCCGAUCCAACCUGCCGCUGACCCGGGGGGGCGGGGAGCCUCUGUGACCCCGAAGCCCUGGCUCCCCGCCUCGGGGCCUGGAGCGCCCAGUCUGCAGUGGGAACCAGCGUGCCAUCGCGGAGGGCUCCCCAGCGCAGCCAGAGGGUAUGACACAGAGGAGACGAGCUCGGCGCCACCAUCCCACACCUGUGCCCAGGAGGUGUCCCCCUCCCCGGCCUGAAGCACCUUUCACACUCCUCUGUGCCACUCCGACUCACCUGGGAUUCAGCCUCCUCCAGGAAGUCUUCUGGGACUCCCUCCUCACCAGCCAGUGAGCGCUUUGUCCUCUUUGGGGCUCACAAGCCCCCUCUACUGUGAACAGCCUUGGCUGGCAGGGGUUGUGGGGGUGCAGCCAAUUACUGCUGAGAUCUCCAAUGACUGCAGUGGGGACACGGACCCCAGCCCUCCCCUGGCUCUGCAGCGUCACACGGUGCAUGCCCCCAGCCCCAGACACCUCCCCACGGUGGGCCUGUGCCCACUCCGUUGGCGGUGUCCUCAUCCCCCUGAACCCCGCUGCUUUGUCCACUGCAUGGGGUCUCCUGGUUGGGUGUGAAGGGCUCUGGGUAAGUGGGCGGGGCCAGGGGAGCUGUGUCCCUAAGGCCAUGAGGCACUGGCGGUGACUGGUGAUUGUACGGUGUGUUGUGGGGACUCUGGGGACAAGACCCACCAGGUAGAGCUCUGGGCCCCCGUGAGCCCCCUGCCUGGCGCCACCUGUGGUCAGGCCCUCUGCACAGGGCCACCCCGGGGCAGCAGGGGGGUGGUUGGGGGAGGCGCGGGUAUGUGGGCUCCCCAAAGGGCCACGUCCACGGUCCAGGUGCUGGGUGGCUCAAGGCAGGGGCCUCAGGGGGCCUGUGAAGAAAUAAUGUUUUAAUUAAGAAUAGUGGUGGCCGCAGGGCCCCGAGCGUGGACGGGUGGGUGACAGAUUGACUACACGCCCCGGGGACCUUGGGGUGCCAGAGGUGCAGUGUGGGGGACCCAGGCUCCGCCUGUCCCUCCGACUGCCUGGUGGGCAGUCCAAGACCAGGUACCAGAGACCCCAGUGCCCCGUUCCUUGGGGCUCCCCCUAGAGCAGGGCCUCCAACUCCCUCUUUUGUAGCAGGUAAACUGAGGCCUCAGCUGCUUGCAGGGCAUGCAAAGGGGAAAGGAGCCCCGACCCCUCCUCCUGCCUGGUUUGGGUCUCUUGAUGGUCACCCCGCUCCAUUCCUCUGUCCCUACCAAGGCCAGACCCUGGGCCGCCUCCUGCCCCUCUGCAGGCUUGGGCUUGAGUGAUAACUGCCCCGUGGUGGCUGGGAUUCUGGCCCAUUUUACAGAUGGGGUGUCCAAGGUCAGCCUUCCCUGGGCUGCUGCCCCAACAGCCCCUGAACUGAGGGGUCUCAGCCCACGCGGGGGUCCCCGAUAGAGGAAGGGGAGGGGUUCCUGCUUCCUGACUGAGGGUGGGGGCAGGGGAUGGGGGGCAGGGGAAGCCUUUCAGGCCAUUUUGACAUUUAACAAACAAUAUGCAAAUCACAUGCAAAUCACCACCCAUUUCUUAAGCCACGACAGCCCAGGCGUGUUCUGAAAUAAUAAUGUUGGACCUGUCGGUCGCUGUCUGCCUCGGCCUGGAGGAGGAGGGCACAGCCUCUCCUUCCCCCUCCUCCCUUCCAUUUCCCUCCCCCUCCUUCCCUUUAUUCCUUUCACUGCUUUUCUUCCUUCCCUGGUUCCCAGGAGGCCUCCUAGUCCCGAGGCGAAUGCAAAAAGCCGCAAAAAGUGACAAAAGUAGCUCGCACACGCAGUGCUCCCAUUUUCCGGAUGAGAUACAGGGAGGCGCAGGUCUGGCCUGAGGUCUCAGAGCCACAGGUAGAAAGUGGUGUCCCCACCAGGGGAGCAAAGUGGACAGAGCCUGUGACCCAAAAAGGAGAGAGGACAGUGGCCAGAGCAGUCGGGACUUUGAUUUGGGGGCUGGGGCUCCGGGCCUGGCAGGGCUUGUCAGAGCCCCCGGGAAACCAUCCUGGAGUUUUUUAGCCUCAAGUAGCAGGCUGCCCCGAGCUUGGAUCUGGAGAGAUCUGACCGUGCGGGACUGGGCUCCCCCCAUCCUCCUUUCUGGUGCUUCUCCCAUCAGCAUGCUCUUUGACUUCUGGCCACCGCCAGUUCGCAUGCCCUACCUUCUCUGUUUGGCAAACUCCUAUUCAUCCUGCAAAGCCCAGCUGCAAUGCCCCCCUUCUUUGUGCAGUCAUUUCUGAUCCUCCAAGAGGAGGCUCUGCUUCCCUCUGGUUUUCGGCUACCCGAGAUCUCUCCAUGGUCCAGCCUCGGGUGCUUGAGGGCCGCAGCAUCCCUGCCCACUGAGCUGGUUAUGACACCCCUCCGGACCUUGGCAUAUGCACUUCUCUACCCACAAUGCCCUUCCCGGUCUUUUCCACAUGGCACACUCCUAGAUCUUCAAGGCCCCAGCACUAGCGACCCCCUCCCUGUGGGCUCUGCGGUCCUGGGGCUUCCCGUCCCGCUGGCUCGGGCCUGACGCAGGGAACUGGGAAGGGUGUAGGUCCUGCCAGCCUGGUGAGUCUUGCCUGGGACCCCCGGGUCACGUCACCACCCGGUUGGGACCAGGUAUAGAAGGGCCAUCUUUGAGUGCAUAUGAAUAAAAGAUGAAGUGUCUCAACA
rnacentral:lncRNA from 1 species